GGGCCGCUAGCUCAAUGGUAGAGCAACACCCUUUUAAGGUGAUGGUUCCGGGUUCGAGCCCCGGGCGGCGCA
rnacentral:tRNA from 1 species